GGACGAACGCUGGCGGCGUGCCUAACACAUGCAAGUCGAACGAGGUCCAUCCUUCGGGAGAAGACCUAGUGGCGAACGGGUGAGUAAUACGUGAGGAACCUGCCCCGAAGACCGGGAUAACCCUCCGAAAGGAGAGCUAAUACCGGAUACCCCCACCGAACCGCAUGGUUUGGUGAGGAAAUGGAUUCCGCUUCGGGAGGGCCUCGCGGCCUAUCAGCUAGUUGUGGGGUAAACGGCCCACCAAGGCAUCGACGGGUAGCUGGUCUGAGAGGACGAUCAGCCACACUGGGACUGAGACACGGCCCAGACUCCUACGGGAGGCAGCAGUGGGGAAUCUUGCGCAAUGGGCGAAAGCCUGACGCAGCAACGCCGCGUGGGGAUGAAGGCUCUCGGGUUGUAAACCCCUUUCAGCAGGGACGAAUCAAGACGGUACCUGCAGAAGAAGCCCCGGCUAACUACGUG
rnacentral:rRNA from 1 species